rnacentral:rRNA from 1 species
CCUACGGGAGGCAGCAGUGGGGAAUAUUGGACAAUGGGCGCAAGCCUGAUCCAGCAAUGCCGCGUGUGUGAAGAAGGCCUUCGGGUUGUAAAGCACUUUCAAUAAGGAAGAAAGACACUAUAGUAAUAUGAUAGUGGGAUGACGUUACUUAUAAAAGAAGCACCGGCUAACUCUGUGCCAGCAGCCGCGGUAAUACAGAGGGUGCGAGCGUUAAUCGGAAUUACUGGGCGUAAAGCGCGCGUAGGCGGAGUAAUAAGUCAGAUGUGAAAUCUUUGGGCUCAACCCAAAAACUGCAUAUGAUACUGUUAGUCUAGAGUAUGGUAGAGGAAGGUGGAAUUUCUGGUGUAGCGGUGAAAUGCGUAGAUAUCAGAAGGAAUAUCAGUGGCGAAGGCGACCUUCUGGGCCAAUACUGACGCUGAGGUGCGAAAGCGUGGGUAGCGAACAGGAUUAGAUACCCUGGUAGUCCACGCCGUAAACGAUGAGAACUAGGCGUCGGGAGUAAUCUCGGUGCCGCAGCUAACGCAAUAAGUUCUCCGCCUGGGGAGUACGGUCGCAAGACUAAAACUCAAAGGAAUUGACG